CACUCUUACUGGGAUGUGCACUUCCUAUUUGGAUGUCUUCUGGGUACAAUGAUCGACCUCUUGCUCCUUUUGCUGGGAUUUUGAGCCUUGGAAUUGGGGAUACAAUGGUGAGUGUGGUUGUUACUAUUUAACUGUUGACAUGCUAAUUAUGAAAUGCUUUUUUGUUUUAUAUUUCUAUCUAGUUUUGAACUUUUGGAAGUUUUCAAUGCACAUCCUAGGUCCAACAAAUCACUAGCAUCUCUAGACUUCAAUAAAAUCUGAGAUGCGCAAUUAUUAUGACAGCAAAUACUUUUAUAUCCAAAGUAGGUUCUCUCAUUUUUACAUAAAUUAUACAAAAAUGUGUUGUCUGGCCAGAUUAGGCUUAUUGUGGUAAAUAGGAAUGUGAGAAUCACGGGAUAUGACUUUGAGGAAAUUCAUAGUUUUUACAGCCAGUGUAUUAUUCUCUUCCGUUGUGCAUAGAUAAUUGUUUCUUUCUAGAAUAAAAAGAUGGCCUUGCUUUUAUAUACAGGCUUCAAUGGUUGGGCACAAAUAUGGUGUCCUCCGGUGGAGCAAAACUGGAAGUAAGUAUUCUUUUUCCUUAGAAAAAUGAAAGAAGAACGAAAGAAAGAGGAGAUUAUUCUUGGGCAAGUAUUGCUUUCUUUACCAUGCUAAUAUGUUGUGAAACUUGCUUACUUUCUAGAGAAAACCAUUGAAGGCACUGCAGCUGGUAUAACAUCUGUCCUGGCUGCUUGCUCAGUUUUGCUUCCAAUUCUUGCAUCCACUGGAUAUAUUUUUACACAGGUCUGUCUUUCUAAGCUCCUCAUGGAAAUACACAAGCUUUUGCACACACACAAAUGCAUGCCUGUAUUCACAUGCUUAUAGUUUCCUGAAUAAUCAUCUUAUUGUCUGUUCAAUCUAAUUUCUUGGACAGUUGAACUAACUAAAUCAGUCUAUUAUUCUUUUUUGGAUAUGAGCCUUAUUGAAUCAGUUUAAUAGAACUCCUUUAUUGGGUUUUUCAAAACCAGCUUUAUAAUCAUGGACCAAUACCUUAUGGAUUAGUUGAUGCCCCUGAGAUUUAGAUGCUCAUGCUUAUCACAUUUCAAACUCAUUACAUCCUAUUCCAAGUUCUGAUGCUAAAUAUUGUGAAUACAAGUUCCUCCCAGAUGCUUGUGCAUUUAUGACAAGUUUCUGGGCUCAAACCUCCAGUCAUCUUUGUGUGUGUGUGUGUGUGCAUCAUAUUCACAAUUUCUAACAUCUGUCUGCCCCUACUUAAAAUGGAAAAAAUAAAAUUAAGAAUAAGAAGAUUUGUGGAAUAUCUUAUUAUGUGUUUGAUUAAUCUCUCUCCUUUUCUGCCCUAAUUGUGUCAUUGAUGCACAAGUUGACGUUUCCAACACUAAUUUAUGCAGCAUUGGGUCUCUCUUCUCCUAGCAGUGAUUGUGAGUGGUUUGUUGGAAGCCUACACAGCACAACUUGAUAAUGCAUUUAUACCACUCGUUUUCUACAGCCUUCUAUGUUUGUAACUGCAACUUCAACCUAAAAAAGAAGUGUAUUAGCAGCCAAUAAAGAAAUUCUCCAAGAAAUUCUAUAAUUUAUAUGUUCCCUUGAGAAACAUUUUUAGACAAACUAACCUGUUCUUAGAGAACACAAACAGCUUGUAGUAUGGUAUAUUCUUUCAUAGGUUGAGAUGGCUUUUGGAUAGGCUUAGGAUUGAC
rnacentral:misc_RNA from 1 species